rnacentral:antisense_RNA from 1 species
UUAGGCAAAAAUAAAUUUUAUUCUUUCACAGAAGUCUGGAGGGAGGCAGGCCCAGAGUUCACGCAGGAGCUCAAUAACAUCAGGGAUCAGGCUCUUUUUGUUCUUCUUAGCAUAUCGACGUUUUACCUGAUGCUGGGCACCUCGUGGGCCUAAGAUAGCUGUUGUAGCUCCAUGCAUCAUGAUUAAACCAGAGGCAGGAAGUGUAGGAUGGGAGAGGAUGGAGGUCACUUUUCAGUGUCUAUCCUUCCAAUUGUAUGUGUGUGUGUGUGUAUAUGUGCAGAUGUAUAUUUCUUUUUUCCCAACAUUGAGAAUUAUGCCAUACAAAUUAUUCAGUAAUGUGCUUUUU